rnacentral:rRNA from 1 species
GACGAACGCUGGCGGCGUGCUUAACACAUGCAAGUCGAACGAUGAAGGGGAGCUUGCUCCCCGGAUUAGUGGCGAACGGGUGAGUAACACGUGGGCAACCUGCCCCUAACUCUGGGAUAACUCCUCGAAAGAGGUGCUAAUACCGGAUACGAGACUGGGAGACAUCUCCACGGUCUGGAAAGUUUUUCGGUUAGGGAUGGGCCCGCGGCCUAUCAGCUUGUUGGUGAGGUAACGGCUCACCAAGGCGACG